AUUGAACGCUGGCGGCAUGCCUUACACAUGCAAGUCGAACGGCAGCGGGGGAGAAGCUUGCUUUUCCUGCCGGCGAGUGGCGAACGGGUGAGUAAUACAUCGGAACGUGCCCUGUAGUGGGGGAUAACUAGUCGAAAGAUUAGCUAAUACCGCAUACGACCUGAGGGUGAAAGUGGGGGACCGCAAGGCCUCAUGCUAUAGGGGCGGCCGAUGUCUGGUUAGCUAGUUGGUGGGGUAAAGGCCUACCAAGGCGACGAUCAGUAGCUGGUCUGAGAGGACGAUCGGCCACACUGGGACUGAGACACGGCCCAGACUCCUACGGGGGGCAGCGGUGGGGAAUUUUGGACAAUGGGCGAAAGCCUGAUCCAGCAAUGCCGCGUGUGUGAAGAAGGCCUUCGGGUUGUAAAGCACUUUUGCCCGGAAAGAAAUGGCUCCGGUUAAUACCUGGGGUCGAUGACGGUACCGGAAGAAUAAGGACCGGCUAACUACGUGCCAGCCGCCGCCGUAACAC
rnacentral:rRNA from 1 species